rnacentral:rRNA from 1 species
GGACCCGCACAAGCGGUGGAGCAUGUGGUUUAAUUCGAUGCAACGCGAAAAACCUUACCUACACUUGACAUACUUCGAAUUUUCUAGAGAUAGAUUAGUGCCUUCGGGAGCGAAGAUACAGGUGCUGCAUGGCUGUCGUCAGCUCGUGUCGUGAGAUGUUGGGUUAAGUCCUAUAACGAGCGCAACCCUUACCCUUAUUUGCCAGCGGUUAGGCCGGGAACUAUAAGGGAACUGCCGGUAAUAAGCCGGAGGAAGGUGGGGACGACGUCAAGUCAUCAUGGCCCUUACGUGUAGGGCUACCACGUGCUACAAUGGGAGAUACGACAGGUUGCUAAAGCCGCGGCUGGCCAA